rnacentral:piRNA from 1 species
UGUUAUCUUAGCCGGGACUCUUAAAGCGUGU